AUUGAACGCUGGCGGCAGGCCUAACACAUGCAAGUCGAGCGGAUGAAGGGAGCUUGCUCCUGGAUUCAGCGGCGGACGGGUGAGUAAUGCCCAGGAAUCUGCCCGGUAGUGGGGGAUAACGUCCGGAAACGGGCGCUAAUACCGCAUACGUCCUGAGGGAGAAAGUGGGGGUUCUUCGGACCUCACGCUAUCAGAUGAGCCUAGGUCGGAUUAGCUAGUUGGUGGGGUAAAGGCCUACCAAGGCGACGAUCCGUAACUGGUCUGAGAGGAUGAUCAGUCACACUGGAACUGAGACACGGUCCAGACUCCUACGGGAGGCAGCAGUGGGGAAUAUUGGGCAAUGGGCGAAAGCCUGAUCCAGCCAUGCCGCGUGUGUGAAGAAGGUCUUCGGAUUGUAAAGCACUUUAAGUUGGGAGGAAGGGCAGUAAGUUAAUACCUUGCUGUUUUGACGUUACCAACAGAAUAAGCACCGGCUAACUUCGUG
rnacentral:rRNA from 1 species